CUUUAUGGGAAAUUCAUCGAAAUCGACAAAUUGUGUUCUGCUGAUUUACCAUUAGAAACCAAAAUGAAGAUGCUGAACUUUAUGAAAAGAUAUGGUAAAACUCCAUUUGGAAUAAGCAUCGGCGGAUUCUUUUAUGUUAAGAAAAACUUCUUCAUUCGAUUUCUGAGUGCCAUAUAUUCAUCGCUGUCUGUGUUGACGGAACUUUUAAUUGCAAAGAAACCAUCUACAUGUAAAGUUGAGAUUAGAGAUUUGAUUCAAUAAAGCCACUUAAUCAACAUGCCUGACAGGCUGACUUUGAAUAACAGCGCAGACUUAUUACAAGGAAAUGAGGUAUUUUUGUGUUGGAAAAAGGAAGU